rnacentral:rRNA from 1 species
UACGGGGGGAGCAAGCGUUGUUCGGAAUCACUGGGCGUAAAGGGCGCGUAGGCGGCUUUAUAAGUCGGGGGUGAAAGCCUGUGGCUCAACCACAGAAUUGCCUUCGAUACUGUUUGGCUUGAGACCGGAAGAGGUUAGUGGAACUGCGAGUGUAGAGGUGAAAUCCGUAGAUAUUCGCAAGAACACCAGUGGCGAAGGCGGCUGACUGGUCCGGUUCUGACGCUGAGGCGCGAAAGCGUGGGGAGCAAACAGG